rnacentral:rRNA from 1 species
UACGGGGGGAGCAAGCGUUGUUCGGAUUUACUGGGCGUAAAGGGCGCGUAGGCGGCGUGACAAGUCACUUGUGAGAUCUCCGGGCUUAACCCGGAGCGGCCAAGUGAUACUGUCGUGCUAGAGUGCGGAAGGGGCUACUGGAAUUCUCGGUGUAGCGGUGAAAUGCGUAGAUAUCGAGAGGAACACCUGCGGCGAAGGCGGGUAGCUGGGCCGACACUGACGCUGAGGCGCGAAAGCCAGGGGAGCGAACGGG